GGGGCCAUAGCUCAGCUGGGAGAGCGCCUGCUUUGCACGCAGGGGGUCAGGAGUUCGAUCCUCCUUGGCUCCACCA
rnacentral:tRNA from 1 species